rnacentral:rRNA from 1 species
AUUGAACGCUAGCGGGAUGCUUUACACAUGCAAGUCGAACGAGUGGCGGACGGGUUCGUAAUAUAUCGGAACGUGCCCCGUAGCGGGCGAUAACUACUCGAAAGAGUGGCUAAUACCGCAUACUCUUGUCGCGCCCGAUAUCGGAUUAGCUAGUUGGGGGGGAAAAGGCUCACCAAGGCAACGAUCCGUAGCUGUUUUGAGAGGACGACAGGCCACACGGUGACUGAGACACGGCCCAGACGCCUACGGGAGUCAGCAGUGGGGAAUUUUGGACAAUGGGAGAAACCCUGAUCCAGCCAUCCCGCGGGUAUGAGAAGGCCUUCGGGGUGUAAAGUAAUUUUGGCAGAGAAGCGGUAUCUGCAGAAUAAGCACCGGCUAACUACGUGCCAGCAGCCGCGGUAAUUC